rnacentral:misc_RNA from 1 species
AUGCGAUAAGUAAUGUGAAUUGCAGAAUUCAGUGAAUCAUCGAAUCUUUGAACGCACCUUGCGCUCCUUGGUAUUCCGAGGAGCAUGCCUGUUUGAGUGUCAUGAAAUUCUCAACCUUUCUGGCUUUUGUGAGCUGGUUAGGCUUGGAUAAUGGGAGUUGCUGGCUUUCAGAAGUCAGCUCUUCUAAAAUACAUUAGCAAACAUCAUUGCUGCUCAUCAUUGGUAUGAUAAUUAUCUAUAUCAUUGAGAGUCAGUGUAUCCCCUUUGUGGGAAGAUUUUGCUUACAACCGUCUUCUUAGACAAUAUUUGACAAUUUUGACCUCAAAUCAGGUAGGACUACCCGCUGAACUUAA